rnacentral:rRNA from 1 species
UGAUCCUGGCUCAGGAUGAACGCGAGCGGCAGGCUUAACACAUGCAAGUCGAGGGGUAACAUUGUAGCUUGCUACAGAUGACGACCGGCGCACGGGUGCGUAACGCGUAUAGAACUUACCUUUUACAGAGGGAUAGCCUUUAGAAAUGAAGAUUAAUACCUCAUAGUAUUAUUGAUUGGCAUCAAUUAAUAAUUAAAGAUUUAUCGGUAAAAGAUGGCUAUGCGUCCUAUUAGCUAGAUGGUAAGGUAAUGGCUUACCAUGGCUACGAUAGGUAGGGGCCCUGAGAGGGGGAUCCCCCACACUGGUACUGAGACACGGACCAGACUCCUACGGGAGGCAGCAGUGAGGAAUAUUGGGCAAUGGAGGUAACUCUGACCCAGCCAUGCCGCGUGCAGGAAGACUGCCCUAUGGGUUGUAAACUGCUUUUAUACAGGAAGAAACACUCGUACGUGUACGAGCUUGACGGUACUGUAAGAAUAAGGACCGGCUAACUCCGUGCCAGCAGCCGCGGUAAUACGGAGGGUCCGAGCGUUAUCCGGAAUCAUUGGGUUUAAAGGGUCCGCAGGCGGUCAAUUAAGUCAGAGGUGAAAUCCCAUAGCUUAACUAUGGAACUGCCUUUGAUACUGGUUGACUUGAGUCAUAUGGAAGUAGAUAGAAUGUGUAGUGUAGCGGUGAAAUGCAUAGAUAUUACACAGAAUACCGAUUGCGAAGGCAGUCUACUACGUAUGUACUGACGCUCAUGGACGAAAGCGUGGGGAGCGAACAGGAUUAGAUACCCUGGUAGU